rnacentral:lncRNA from 1 species
GUGUUGUUCGUUUUCAUGGACUCAGAGUAUGCUGGCACUACGGUGAAUUUCUCCUCAUAGGAAGUAACACAAGAUGAUACAUAUGGUCAUCCAAACAGGCAAGAAGUUAGAAGAAAAUGGAGAUAGUAAAAUACAUAAAAUAAGGAUCUGGGAAGAACUCUGCCGCGAGACUCCCGUGCAUACUGCUUGGUCCCAGCGCUUGCCUCAUCCACGUGCUCCCUCCUGUUGGCCAUUCCUCAUGGCCCUCGGAGAAGUCAUCGCUGCUGCCACCACCACCACCACAGCUGUCCAGAAGGAAAUUAGAAACACUAUGAGGCCACUGUCACCGCCAAACCGAAGAAUGAAGGUAAAGAAGGUAAAGGAGAUAAAAACAGGCACAGAGAGAAGAGCGAGAAUGAAUCUGAAAAAAGAGAGCUGGUAUUCAAAGAGGAUGGAUAAGAUUGUGUUCAAGUAA